GGAUAGCUUAGUUGCUAGAGCAUGAGAUUCUUGAUCUCAUGGCUGUUGGUUCAAGCCCCACCUUGGGCA